UGGGAUUGGGACCCCUGAUGUAGAGUCAUAGGUUGAGUUAGUUUGACGAAAUAUUGGUUCAGAAGUUGUGACUCAGCAGUAGGGUUGGUGAUGUGUCGGGUUCUUUAAUUAACUCCACAGCUUGGCUAUUUCUAUUGGGUCAUAGGUCGGUUAGCUUUGAUCAAAUAUUGGGUCAAAUUUUACCCAAUUCGUUGGAUUAAAGACAAGCCUCAGAAGAAGCCACAUAAUUUUUUCACAAACUGCCACUUUCAACUAGACUUUCACCUGAUAAGAUAUAACUCGACUUUCUUCUACAAUGAAUAGAUGAAGGCAAUUUUGGCAUCGUCAAUAGCAGAUCAGUUUCCAUGUUUAGGGGACUGCCAUGGCACAGGAUAUGACACGCGAGGAAACACGGGCUCUCAUUGAGUGGCGGGCAGCAAAUGAGAGCCUUUUUACUGGAAGGAGAAAUUCCUGCAAGACUAGAUGGGAGGACUUUGUUAGCUCUUCAGGCUAUAACAGCCAAACAAGCAAAAAAAAAAAGUGGAGCAACCUGAAGGCCAAAUACAAGGGACCCAUCUACAGGGAAGGGUGUAGAGGCAGGUAGCCCGACUGCCUCCACCUGGCAGCGCUACAAUAUGAUGGAUGCUGUGAUCCAGCGGCAGCACUCAAGUCUACCAGCAAACCUGACUUUCACUACAGGUGAUACAAUCAGCACUACACCAUAGACCCCUUCUACAGAAGAGUCAAGGAAGAGGCCCAGGGACAGCCAGGCUAUCCUACCAUUUUUAAAAGACCAACCAGAAAGAGAGGAAAACAGAGAGAGACAGGCUCUGGCUAGGGAGGAAGAGAGGGAGAGGGCAGCUACUCAAAGGGCAGAGUGAUAUCUGUCACUAUUUGAGAAACUUGUUGACAAAUUUUAAAUAAAGCACUUUAAAUGUCAAA